rnacentral:rRNA from 1 species
GCCUUCGGGAACGCAGUGACAGGUGCUGCACGGCUGUCGUCAGCUCGUGUAGUGAAAUGUUGGGUUAAGUCCCGCAACGAGCGCAACCACUAUUGAUAGUUACCAUCAUUAAGUUGGGUACUCUAUUAAGACUGCCGCUGACAAGGCGGAGUAAGGUGGGGACGACGUCAAGUCAUCCUGGCCCUUACGACCAUGGCUACACACGUGCUACAAUGGGUAUUACAGAGGGCUGCGAAGGUGCG